AGUUGCGGCGUAUUAAGCCUGUUCCAAAACUGGCUUGUCACAGUGUGGCCUCUUGGUGCCAUCCUCGAGCUCCGAACCUUGAUAUAUUAACUUGUGUCAAGGAUUCACAUAUAUGGGCUAUUGAACACCCCACCUAUUCAGCUCUCACAAGACCAUUAUGUGAGCUUUCUUCGCUCAUCCCUCCUCAAGUUCUUGCACCAAACAAGAAACUUAGAGUUUAUUGUAUGGUUGCACAUCCUUUGCAGCCUCACCUUGUUGCUACUGGAACCAAUAUUGGUGUUAUU
rnacentral:misc_RNA from 1 species